rnacentral:rRNA from 1 species
AGCGAACGCUGGCGGCAGGCUUAACACAUGCAAGUCGAGCGGGCAUCCUUGUGGUGUCAGCGGCAGACGGGUGAGUAACGCGUGGGAACGUGCCCUUCGGUUCGGAAUAACUCAGGGAAACUUGAGCUAAUACCGGAUACGUGCGAGAGCAGAAAGGUUUAUCUGCCGAAGGAUCGGCCCGCGUCUGAUUAGCUAGUUGGUGAGGUUACGGCUCACCAAGGCGACGAUCAGUAGCUGGUCUGAGAGGAUGAUCAGCCACACUGGGACUGAGACACGGCCCAGACUCCUACGGGAGGCAGCAGUGGGGAAUAUUGGACAAUGGGGGCAACCCUGAUCCAGCCAUGCCGCGUGAGUGAUGACGGCCUUAGGGUUGUAAAGCUCUUUUCUCCGGGUCGAUAAUGACGGUACCGGAGGAAUAAGCCCCGGCUAACUUCGUG